UCUGUUCGGCAACCAGCAACAAGCACCAUUUUUUCAUUAACAGCCUGUAAAAAUUGUCAAGCAAAACACAACGUUGCCUUACUGAUUUUCUAUUAAUCAAAAUCAAAAGAAAAUUAAAAUCCGAGAAAUAUCAAACUUUCAAACGGACCAAAAACAGCUGUACAAACGCACCAAAAACGUAUUCCAGCGCAGAAAGCACAUUUUAAGCGAGCACAAAGAUGGAGAAUAACGAGGCGCCCGCACCUUCCGGUUCCAACAACAAUGAUUUUCCCAUACUUCCGCCGCCGCCGAAUGCAUCGUCAUCCAACUACAACAUCUACAACGACCCGGCCAACAGCAACAACAAUGCUGCACAGAAACGCCUGCAGCAGACACAGGCCAAAGUGGACGAAGUGGUGGGCAUAAUGCGCGUCAAUGUCGAGAAGGUGCUCGAACGUGAUCAGAAACUAUCGGAGCUGGGCGAGCGAGCCGAUCAGCUAGAGCAGGGCGCCUCACAGUUCGAACAGCAGGCGGGCAAACUGAAGCGCAAACAAUGGUGGGCCAACAUGAAGAUGAUGAUCAUUCUCGGCGUCAUUGCCGUCGUCUUGCUGAUCAUUAUAAUAGUGUCGAUUUACAAUUGAUAAACAAAAGAAAAAGUUAAAGCAAAAGCAAAAAUAAUAUGCAGCAGGGCAACUUGUUGCGCUUAAUCCAAUACAUACGCAUAAUUCUAAGGCUAUCAACAACAUCAGCUACACGUAUUUAGAAACACAUAUACAUAUAUAUAUGUAUAUAUACAUGUGCACACACAGCUCAUCCAUAUGUGUGUGUGUGUGUGUAUGUAGAACAAAAUUUUAGUUUAAGCAAAAAAGAUGCUAAGCGAAAGAUUACUUUGCUAAACAAUCGUGUGUAGUUAAUUUUAAGAGCUAUGGACUUUGCCCAGCAUAACUGUAGCUGUAACUGUAAAUAUACAUACACUAUGUGUGAGAAUUAUGCGCUUUGCCCUCCGGCAGCAGCAGCAGCAGCGAUCAUGUCACAAAAUCCGUGACCGAGGCACCCCAUUAGAUGGAACCCCAACAAGCAAGCACAAGCAUCCUGGAAUCGAAGACAACGAACAGCAACUGUGUGGCAAUUUCUGAUAGAGGACUUGCUGCUGCCUUCUUCGCAUUGGCCUUAAGCGCAACAAUUCAAUUCAAUUUAACACAAUGAAAACUGUGUCUAAAACAAAUAACAAAAACAAAAAUUGCAAAAAAAAAAGAAUGAAACCAACAUAAAACACUUAACACAGAUUGUUAUUUAUAAACAUUUUAAUCUUAAAUGUAAAAAAAAAAAUCACACAUAUGUAUUGUAACAAAUUUGUGUAACAA